AACGUGAGCAACCUGCCUUUCUAGAGGGGGAGUAACAGUUGGAAACGAACUGCUAAUACCGCAUAACGCUGCGAUGGGGCAUCCCGAUGCAGCCAAAGGAGCAAUCCGCUGAAAGAUGGGCUCGCGGCCGAUUAGCUAGUUGGUGGGGCAACGGCCCACCAAGGCGACGAUCGGUAGCCGGACUGAGAGGUUGAUCGGCCACAUUGGGACUGAGACACGGCCCAGACUCCUACGGGAGGCAGCAG
rnacentral:rRNA from 1 species